GACAACUAAUGCAUUGAUUGUUCUAAUAAUUAUAUUCAUCCGUAAUUUUGUUGUGAUGCGUUGAGAAAUUACUUUCUUGACACAAACUUUCUUUGUCAAAUUAAACUGAUCUGUACAAGGUCAACAAUCAACAUAGCUAUGUCGAGAAAUGCAGAUAAGGAUUAAUCCUUUCCUUUCACACUACUGAUGGAGCGUUACGAGUUAAGUGACUGAUGACGUCUCUCUCUCUCUCUCCCUCCCCUAUUAUAUUAUGUAUAUAUAUAUGUAUUGCCCAAACAUUUGUUUUCUCUCCAUAUAUUUUCACAAUGAAAACAACCCAAAUAAUCUGUCUCUCUACUCUUGUAGCUAUUUUACUGUGCUCUCAAAUUCUCUCAACCUCUGCACUUCGCAUACCAAAUCUAAACCAUGAAGAUGUAGCCAUGCAAAACCACUCUCAGGAGAUGGAUGAUGAUGUUAGAAGGGAAUCUAAUGAAGAAUUGGAUUUGGCGACAAUUGCUGAUUAUCCCCCUGUUGGGCCCAAUCCGCGUCACGAUCCUCCUCCACCACAUCGUUCUUAAAUGAAAAUGCCUAAUUUCAUGUGGAAUUUGGAAUGGAUGUAGUCGUGAUUUUGGUAAUAAAAUUUGAUGCCAUUCUAUUAUUAUAAA